AUCCAGGCCAUAGCAUUGUUAAACAACAUGUCCGCUAGGAUGCUGCUCUUGCUGACGUUCGUGGGAUGCUGCAUGGCAGCUUUACUUGAUGAACAAGAUGUUGACACUAGAACCGUUGACUCCCUUCUCACCUACCUUGACCACGAGAUGACCUCUGACCUCUCCGACGAUGAAUUUAUGCAUUACAUAGUGACGAACGCUACCAUUAGCAACGAGACAUACCAUGUCAUCGAGGAGUCGGCUGGCUGAUCGGACAUUUUCGAUUGUCCACGUUCGGGAGUACCAACUUCUCCUGCCGGAUCUCCACAAAAAGGCUACUAUAUUUCAGCUGGCCUUCUACGUAAACAAUGCAGAUACAUAAAGGAGUUGAUGUCAUGUUACGUGCAGUACGAUUAUACAGACUGUCCGUACGUGACUGGAAUGAUAAAACAGUUAACCCCAGUGUACCGGUACAUGUGUAGGGAACCCGGCAGGACUGAGAUCCUGAAUUUUCUGCCAUGCGCCAACAACUAUGAUAUCCAGGUUAAGAUGUUUGAGACUUACAUCAAGUUCGUGUCCGCUAUUUGGAUAAUAGUCAACUGGCCAGACCCCGUAGAGGACGCGUAUAACACUAUGAUAUGCAGAGCGUUUUUUGAGUUCAAAAGUGAAACAGAUGAAUCCAUUGGGGAGCAUUGUAGUGCAGAGGACGUGACCACGUUUGGAGAGUUUUAUUCAGCCAUGACGUCGAAGAUGUUGUCAAAACAUUCAUGCGAUGAGGAUCAUUUGAAUCACUAAGUUAUUAAUCAAAUUGAUGAGCAACAACUUCCUCUAGUGUUCAAAACAAAGAAAGUCGUGGAAAAUGAUUUGGUGAGGCAGCGUGAGCGUAGCCGUACCUUCCUCCUGACUUGCCGUAACAAACUAGGGAUGAAUCCGUCAACACCGCACCGACAGACGGAUUUUGUAUGAACUUGUUUACAUAUAUUCAUGACUUCUAAGUCACUAUUUAUGGUCUAACGGAGACGCCGCAUGUCUUCGAAAGUCUAGCGCAGCAUGCGAUAGAUUUACGGAGCGAGAAAACAAGUAACUGGAACAUAUAUUAGAAGUAUCUUGUGUACUCUCGUGGCGUUAUUUAGACAAAGCUGAAGGUCGUUUGUAAAAAAUGUGCCCUUGUAGAAUCUAAAUUUAUAGGUUGACAUUUGGUUAGACAGUUCUCGUGAAAAUUGUGACGUCAUCAUCUGGUGACCAUAUGGUGGUCAUACAUUUUAAUAGAAAAUAAGGUCUCUAGAUGCAUCGUAAGCCGAUCGCAUGUUGACAUUUGCGACAGAUUAGAUUGCUGACAUUUUGUAUGUCAACUAGGUAACAGCCGUAGUUACAUUUACUGUGAUAAAAAGUAAAACAAAUCGGGAUAUUUCUCAUAAACUGUAACGGUAUACUUUUUUUGUUAAAUGUGCGUAGUCGUAAUGUAGGUAUAUUGAAUGUAUUCCGUUCAAUCUUAUAUCAGAUUAUUUCCCGAUUUACCAAUGUUAAGUUCAUACCUCAGUGGGCAAAGUAAAUAUAAUAACGGGAUUGGUUUAUUUCCGGAUUUUCCGUAUUAGUAACUCGGCGGUACGGCCAUGCCUUUGAUAUUUCUCCAAUGUUUAUUUGAUUCUGUGAGAGCUGACAUUAUGACAUUAACCAGAAACUUCUGUAUCACCCACACUCGAUGGAUAUUCUGAGGAAAUGAGUUUUUAUGUACAAAAUAAAUUACAGAUUCUGAAAUCAUUAAAUAGAAAACUGCAUACGAAUUGUCAUUGCAGGACAAAUUCAUUCCAGAUCGAGCUUUUCCAGUCAUUUUUUCUCUUCAAUUUUAUUGACGGUCUGUGUUCAACCAAGUGCCAUGCUGCUCUUUCGAAAACGCAUACUUAAUCUGACAAGGAAAACGUUAUAAAACGAAUUACUUAAAUGGAAUUGAUUAAAUGGCAAACAGGCGUUUAAAUUGUUGCGACGUUACAAAUUAUACACUGCAUUGGACAGCCACGGGUCUACAUGUCAUCUGGUGACAGAAAACACAUGACUACUUUACAAUUGUCGUAAAAAUUAUUGUAGGAAUAUUCUGUUGCCCGUAAAAUAUAACGACUGAUUGGUCAGGUUUUCGGAGUCGAGCUAAUUUUAUCAAUAACAAGUAAAACUCAAUUUAAGUGGCGACGUGCAUUACAGAUAGCCUGGGUCCUGAAGACAUAAAAACAUUUUUUACGAAUGAAACCGGGACAGAAAAGCACAAGACGAACUAUGAAAGGGAGUAACCGGUAGAGUUAAGGACUUCCCACCCUUCGUAAAACACAUUCCAGUUUUUCUUGUCGUAUUUUCGUGUCGUCAUUUCCGUAUUGCAUAUCGGGCAUUCCAUUACCGUAGUGUAAAUUAUAGUAUUACCGGGUAAACAAAAGUACACGUGAGUGACGAUGAUAUGUCAACACCCGAUAAUCACACGUACUUCUAAAAUAAAGCUUAUGAUAGAAAGACAUAAAUUAACUCACAGGAAGACACUGACAUAAGAUCAGACGACUUUUAGAAGGUCGUAUUUGAGGCGCAUGGGAUGCAGACUGAUGUGUUUUGUUUACCAACCUCACCUGUACAUUGUACGUAUCACGUGCUAACAGUAGUUCACAAGC
rnacentral:lncRNA from 1 species